rnacentral:rRNA from 1 species
GACGAACGCUGGCGGCGUGCUUAACACAUGCAAGUCGAACGGAAAGGCCCCUUUGGGGGUACUCGAGUGGCGAACGGGUGAGUAACACGUGAGUAACCUGCCCUUGACUUCGGGAUAACUUCAGGAAACUGGGGCUAAUACCGGAUAGGAAUCCUUGCUGCAUGGUGGGGGUUGGAAAGCUUCGGCGGUUUUGGAUGGACUCGCGGCUUAUCAGCUUGUUGGUGGGGUAGUGGCUUACCAAGGCUUUGACGGGUAGCCGGCCUGAGAGGGCGACCGGCCACAUUGGGACUGAGAUACGGCCCAGACUCCUACGGGAGGCAGCAGUGGGGAAUAUUGCACAAUGGGCGGAAGCCGGAUGCAGCAACGCCGCGUGCGGGAUGACGGCCUUCGGGUUGUAAACCGCUUUCAGCAGGGGCGAAGCUUGUGGUGACGGUACCUGCAGAAGAAGCACCGGCUAACUACGUG